rnacentral:rRNA from 1 species
GACGAACGCUGGCGGCGUGCUUAACACAUGCAAGUCGAGCGGAAAGGCCACUUCGGUGGUACUCGAGCGGCGAACGGGUGAAUAACACGCGAGUAAUCUGCCCUUCACUUCGGAACAGCCCGGGAAAACGGGGAUUAAUACCGGUUUGGACUACGGUUUGCAUGAUCGGGUGGGGGAAAGUUUUUCGGUGGAGGAUAUGCUCGCGGCCUAUCAGCUUGUUGGUGGGGUAAUGGCCUACCAAGGCUUCGACGGGUAGCCGGCCUGAGAGGGUGACCGGCCACACUGGGACUGAGACACGGCCCAGACUCCUACGGGAGGCAGCAGUGGGGAAUAUUGGACAAUGGGCGGAAGCCUGAUCCAGCAACGCCGCGUGAGGGAUGACGGCCUUCGGGUUGUAAACCUCUUUCAGUACCGACGAAGCGAGAGUGACGGUAGGUACAGAAGAAGCACCGGCCAACUACGUGCCAGCCGCCGCGGUAACAC